rnacentral:rRNA from 1 species
AUACGAAGGGGGCUAGCGUUGUUCGGAAUAACUGGGCGUAAAGCGCACGUAGGCGGAAUGUUAAGUUAGAGGUGAAAUCCCAGGGCUCAACCCUGGAACUGCCUUUAAUACUGGCAAUCUAGAGAUCGAGAGAGGUGAGUGGAAUUCCGAGUGUAGAGGUGAAAUUCGUAGAUAUUCGGAGGAACACCAGUGGCGAAGGCGGCUCACUGGCUCGAUACUGACGCUGAGGUGCGAAAGCGUGGGGAGCAAACAGGAUUAGAAACCCGGGUAGUCC